rnacentral:rRNA from 1 species
UGGCUCAGAACGAACGCUAGCGGUAUGCUUAACACAUGCAAGUCGAACGAAUUUAUUCAGCAAUGUUUAAAUUAGUGGCAAACGGGUGAGUAAUGCAUAAGAAUCUGCCUCAUGGUAUGGGAUAACUUUAGGAAACUAGAGCUAAUACCGUAUAUUUAAUAAAGGUUUACUGCCAUGAGAUGAGCUUAUGUCAGAUUAGGUAGUUGGUAGGGUAAAGGCCUACCAAGCCUGUGAUCUGUAGCUGGUCUGAGAGGAUGAUCAGCCACAUUGGGACUGAGACACGGCCCAGACUCCUACGGGAGGCAGCAGUGGGGAAUAUUGGACAAUGGGGGAAACCCUGAUCCAGCAAUACCGCGUGAGUGAUGAAGGUCUUAGGAUUGUAAAGCUCUUUCACCUGUGAAGAUAAUGACGGUAACAGGAGAAGAAGCCCCGGCUAACUUCGUGCCAGCAGCCGCGGUAAUACGAGGGGGGCUAGUGUUGUUCGGAUUUAUUGGGCUUAAAGAGUUCGUAGGCGGUUAUUUAAGUAGAAUGUUAAAUACUCAAGCUUAACUUGAGACAUGCAUUCUAAACUGGUUAACUAGAGUUUGGUAGAGGAAAAUAGAACUUCUAGUGUAGAGGUGAAAUUCGUAGAUAUUAGAAGGAAUGCCAGAAGCGAAGGCGAUUUUCUGGGCCAUAACUGACGCUGUUGAACGAAAGCGUGGGUAGCGAACAGGAUUAGAUACCCUGGUAGUCCACGCCCUAAACGAUGAGUGCUAGACUUUUGGAAAUUUAGUUUUUGAGAGUCGAAGCGAAAGCAUUAAGCACUCCGCCUGGGAAGUACGAUCGCAAGAUUAAAACUCAAA